ensembl:lncRNA
UGCACGACAGUCAGUUUUUGGCAGAUAUCCAUGGCGUUCUCAUAAAAGGAAGGCGUGCCCUUGGCUGCUACACCUAAGAAACAGCGCUAGGGGUCGGAGGGAACCAGGGCGCAGCUCCCGACCUGCUACUACGAAGGAUACUUGGAAAAACGGGCCGGAACGAAAAGUAUGUGGAGAAGAUGGACCUCAGUGGCUUUGUCUCACUGAAAGACGACUGCAGCCGAGACAGAAACCUGGAAGCAGCUACAAUCAUCCUACGCAUGACGGAUGGAGAGAACUCACAGUUGCCAAUCUGGAGGCUCGAGAGCUGUGGAAAGGUUUCAUCUACUCUGUCAUAGAUAUAAGU